AGUGAACGCUGGCGGUAGGCCUAACACAUGCAAGUCGAACGGCAGCACAGUAAGAGCUUGCUCUUACGGGUGGCGAGUGGCGGACGGGUGAGGAAUACAUCGGACUCUACUUUUUCGUGGGGGCUAACGUCGGGAAACUUACGCUAAUACCGCAUACGACCUACGUGUGAAAGCAGGGGUUCUUCGGACCUUGCGCGAUUGAAUGAGCCGAUGUCGGAUUAGCUAGUUGGCGGGGUAAAGGCCCACCAAGGCGACGAUCCGUAGCUGGUCUGAGAGGAUGAUCAGCCACACUGGAACUGAGACACGGUCCAGACUCCUACGGGAGGCAGCAGUGGGGAAUAUUGGACAAUGGGCGCAAGCCUGAUCCAGCCAUACCGCGUGGGUGAAGAAGGCCUUCGGGUUGUAAAGCCCUUUUGUUGGGAAAGAAAAGCAGCAGGUUAAUACCCCGCUGUUCUGACGGUACCCAAAGAAUAAGCACCGGCUAACUUCGUG
rnacentral:rRNA from 1 species